UGCCGCCGCUAACGCAUUAAGUAUUCCGCCUGGGGAGUACGGUCGCAAGAUUAAAACUCAAAGGAAUUGACGGGGGCCCGCACAAGCAGCGGAGCAUGUGGUUUAAUUCGAAGCAACGCGAAGAACCUUACUAGACUUGACAUCUCCUGAAUUACCUUAAUCGGGGAAGCCCUUCGGGCAGGAAGACAGGUGGUGCAUGGUUGUCGUCAGCUCGUGUCGUGAGAUGUUGGGUUAAGUCCCGCAACGAGCGCAACCCUUAUUGUUAGUUGCUACCAUUUAGUUGAGCACUCUAGCAGACUGCCCGGGUUAACCGGGAGGAAGGUGGGGAUGACGUCAAAUCAUCAUGCCCCUUAUGUCUAGGGCUACACAACGUGCUACAAUGGCUGGUACAGAGAGAUGCUAAACCGUGAGGUGGAGCCAAACUUUAAAACCAGUCUCAGUUCGGAUUGUAGGCUGAAACUCGCCUACAUGAAGCUGGAGUUGCUAGUAAUCGCGAAUCAGAAUGUCGCGGUGAAUACGUUCCCGGGCCUUGUACACACCGCCCGUCACACCAUGAGAGUUGGCAAUACCCAAAGUUCGUGGGCUAACGCGCAAGCGAGGCAGCGACCUAAGGUAGGGUCAGCGAUUGGGUGAAGUCGUAACAAGGUAGCCGUAGGAGAACCUGCGGCUGGAUCACCUCCUUU
rnacentral:rRNA from 1 species